rnacentral:rRNA from 5 species
GUAACAGGAAGCAGCUUGCUGCUUUGCUGACGAGUGGCGGACGGGUGAGUAAUGUCUGGGAAACUGCCUGAUGGAGGGGGAUAACUACUGGAAACGGUGGCUAAUACCGCAUAACGUCGCAAGACCAAAGAGGGGGACCUUCGGGCCUCUUGCCAUCAGAUGUGCCCAGAUGGGAUUAGCUUGUUGGUGAGGUAACGGCUCACCAAGGCGACGAUCCCUAGCUGGUCUGAGAGGAUGACCAGCCACACUGGAACUGAGACACGGUCCAGACUCCUACGGGAGGCAGCAGUGGGGAAUAUUGCACAAUGGGCGCAAGCCUGAUGCAGCCAUGCCGCGUGUAUGAAGAAGGCCUUCGGGUUGUAAAGUACUUUCAGCGGGGAGG